rnacentral:rRNA from 1 species
AGGGUGUAAACGCUGCAGACUUGGUGUUGGAAAUCCUUCGAGGGUAUUCAGUGCCGGAGAGAAGUUGUUAAGUCUGCUACUUGGGGAGUACGUCCGCAAGGAUGAAACUUAAAGGAAUUGGCGGGGGGAGCACCGCAACGGGAGGAGCGUGCGGUUUAAUUGGAUUCAACACCGGAAAACUCACCAGGGGAGACUGUUACAUGAAACCCAGACUAAAUGAUCUUGGUUGAUUUUCAGAGAGGAGGUGCAUGGCGUCAGUGACU